UACGUAGGGGGCAAGCGUUGUUCGGAAUUACUGGGCGUAAAGGGCGCGUAGGCGGCAUGGCAAGUCGGGAGUGAAAGCCCUGGGCUCAACCCGGGAACUGCUUUCGAAACUGCCAAGCUAGAGUGCGGAAGAGGCAACUGGAAUUCCCAGUGUAGCGGUGAAAUGCGUAGAUAUUGGGAAGAACACCUGAGGCGAAGGCGGGUUGCUGGGCCGACACUGACGCUGAGGCGCGAAAGCCAGGGGAGCAAACGGG
rnacentral:rRNA from 1 species